UUCUCUCUCUCUUUUGUUGUUUUUCUUUUUGUUCUUUGUUCAUUAGUCUGUCUUUGGUAGGGUAAGGGGAGGCACAGAAAUGGAGGAACAAAGGGUGAAAAACUGCAGCAGUGGGUGCUCACUGGACAUUACGUUGAAAAUAAACUAUGCAACUUGUUGGUGGGGCUGGGAAAACGGGGAGAGAG